GACGGAGGGGGCUAGCGUUGUUCGGAAUUACUGGGCGUAAAGAGUGCGUAGGCGGUUUAGUAAGUUGGAAGUGAAAGCCCGGGGCUUAACCUCGGAAUUGCUUUCAAAACUACUAAUCUAGAGUGUAGUAGGGGAUGAUGGAAUUCCUAGUGUAGAGGUGAAAUUCUUAGAUAUUAGGAGGAACACCGGUGGCGAAGGCGGUCAUCUGGGCUACAACUGACGCUGAUGCACGAAAGCGUGGGGAGCAAAC
rnacentral:rRNA from 1 species